rnacentral:rRNA from 1 species
ACCAAGGCAACGAUGCAUAGCCGACCUGAGAGGGUGAUCGGCCACACUGGAACUGAGACACGGUCCAGACUCCUACGGGAGGCAGCAGUAGGGAAUCUUCCGCAAUGGGCGAAAGCCUGACGGAGCAACGCCGCGUGAGUGAUGAAGGUCUUCGGAUCGUAAAACUCUGUUAUUAGGGAAGAACAUAUGUGUAAGUAACUGUGCACAUCUUGACGGUACCUAAUCAGAAAGCCACGGCUAACUACGUGCCAGCAGCCGCGGUAAUACGUAGGUGGCAAGCGUUAUCCGGAAUUAUUGGGCGUAAAGCGCGCGUAGGCGGUUUUUUAAGUCUGA